AACGAACGCUGGCGGCAUGCCUAACACAUGCAAGUCGAACGAGACCUUCGGGUCUAGUGGCGCACGGGUGCGUAACGCGUGGGAACCUGCCCUUAGGUUCGGAAUAACUCCCCGAAAGGGGUGCUAAUACCGGAUAAUGUCUUCGGACCAAAGAUUUAUCGCCUUUGGAUGGGCCCGCGUUGGAUUAGCUAGUUGGUAGGGUAAAAGCCUACCAAGGCGACGAUCCAUAGCUGGUCUGAGAGGAUGAUCAGCCACACUGGGACUGAGACACGGCCCAGACUCCUACGGGAGGCAGCAGUGGGGAAUAUUGGACAAUGGGCGAAAGCCUGGUCCAGCAAUGCCGCGUGAGUGAUGAAGGCCUUAGGGUUGUAAAGCUCUUUUACCCGGGAUGAUAAUGACAGUACCGGGAGAAUAAGCACCGGCUAACUCCGUG
rnacentral:rRNA from 1 species